rnacentral:rRNA from 1 species
GACAGAGGGUGCAAACGUUGUUCGGAAUUACUGGGCGUAAAGCGCGUGUAGGCUGCUUCGCAAGUCGGAUGUGAAAGCCCUGGGCUUAACCCAGGAAGUGCAUUCGAAACUGCAGAGCUGGAGUCCUGGAGAGGAAGGCGGAAUUCUCGGUGUAGAGGUGAAAUUCGUAGAUAUCGAGAGGAACACCGGUGGCGAAGGCGGCCUUCUGGACAGUGACUGACGCUGAGACGCGAAAGCGUGGGGAGCAAACAGG